GCCCUGGUAGCUCAAUUGGCUAGAGCGUGGGACUUUUAUCAUCUCAUCUUAGGAAAGUUUCCUAGAGAUGACGACAAGGGAUCCCAAGGUUGCGGGUUCGACCCCCGCCUGGGGCG
rnacentral:tRNA from 1 species